GACAGAGGUCCCAAGCGUUAGGCGGAAUCACUGGGCUUAAAGCGUGUGUAGGCGGAUCCGUAAGUACCUUGUGAAAUCCCACGGCUCAACCGUGGAACUGCUGGGUAUACUGCGGGUCUUGAGCCACCUAGGGGCGAGCGGAACAAGUGGUGGAGCGGUGAAAUGCGUAGAUAUCACUUGGAACGCCAAUGGUGAAAACAGCUCGCUGGGGGUGUGCUGACGCUGAGACACGAAAGCCAGGGGAGCAAACGGG
rnacentral:rRNA from 1 species